GAUGAAGAACGUAGCGAAAUGCGAUAAGUAAUGUGAAUUGCAGAAUUCAGUGAAUCAUCGAAUCUUUGAACGCACAUUGCGCCCCCUGGUAUUCCGGGGGGCAUACCUGUCCGAGCGUCAUUACAACCCUCAAGCUCAGCUUGGUAUUGGGCCCCGCCGCUCCGGCGGGCCCUAAAGUCAGUGGCGGUGCCGUCCGGCUCCGAGCGUAGUAAUUCUUCUCGCUCUGGAGGUCCGGUCGUGUGCUCGCCAGCAACCCCCAAUUUUUUUCAGGUUGACCUCGGAUCAGGUAGGGAUACCCGCUGAACUUAAGCAUAUCAAUAAGCGGAGGA
rnacentral:misc_RNA from 1 species